GAGCGUGGAAUAUAAAAGCCGCCAUGUGAUCCGCAGCUCGCUCUUUCUUCACUGUUUCUCAAGGAGAGGAGAGGCUUUGCGUUUAGUAAGCGGGAGGACUCUGUUGUGUGAGGGCCAGACUGUUCUGGAGUCUCCGUCAAUUAUUCUGAGGUGAUUCAACAGUUCAUCUGGCUUUAUUCCUGAAGAUUGAUGGUAUGAACAUAUUUAGAUUUAAGUAACUGUCCGAAAGAGGUUGGAGACGCUGCCACUAUGUUCUGAAAGGAGAACUUUUGUGAAAUGGUGGGAUGUAGUGAAACAUGAGUACAUACUUUUUUCAGAAUAGGCCUCUGUUCACCCCGACAUUCCAGAAUACAGCACUUUUAGGUGAUAGUCCCAACAUACUUACCAUGCUUUUAAUGGGGGCAUAAUGUUACCCAUGCAAAAAUCUUUUGCACCAUGGACAAGCUCGGAGUAGCUCCAUACUUCAUUAGAAUACCAAGGACCCUGACAUUUAAUACAAAGUACUGGACUUUAUUAAAAAACUGUUUAUACACAGUACUUGAGGUAGUUCUCAGAGCACCCCAUCUUGAGAUUGUGAUGUCUACUGACAAGCAUGAAUAAAUAGAUGGAAUAGGACAACAGAUUACAAAAUUUUAUUAUUAUUUUUAUUUUUUUUUCCAUGAGCAAUGCUGUGCUCCUAUAGUUAGCAUUGUAAGCUGUUGGGCUUUCAGCAAGCUUAUGCUAUAUUUUGGAAUGCUGUGUGUGAAUGGAGGUGGGCUAUUUGAUAACCUUGUACUUGCCAUGUUUAUAGAGGCACUAAACCCAAAAUCUUAUUUUUAAUUAAUUUAAAGUUGUGAAUCAUAAGUCCUGCUUAAAUUUUUAUAAAAAUUUCCAACAUUUCCAACUUUUUUUUUUUUUAUUGCGGUCCUUUCUGCCUUUGCAGCAUCCCUUUAACUACACCCCAAGUUCAUUUCACUCUGGAUUUCUCAUAAAUUGAUAAAAUUAUCAAGUGAAGUCUUAAAUUAAGGUAUUUCAUGGGUGCCACAUACUUCACUUAACACUUUAAAAUGUGUUGAGGAGAAGUGUACCUAAAGUGGGAAGUUGGUCUCCUACACCAUCUGGUGUUCAUUGUGCAUUGAUGUUUUUAUUAAUCCAGUUGGAAAAUAACUUGUUUAAAGCAUGUCACUUUAUACGGAACUAAAUAAAAACUAUUUAUUCUGUAAAA